UUAUGAAGGGGAAGGACAACAUCCCUCAAAAAGUGGAAGUUAUGCUGAAAUGCAGAAAAUAGACAUGGUCACAAACUGUCAUAUUAAAACACAACAGGGCAGGCCAGAAAUAAGGCUUGGGGAAAAGAACUUGCAGACAGGAAGUGAACCGAUGACUCCUCUCUCAGCCAUAUUGGGGACUGUGAGACUAUCAGAGUUCAUAAGGCCAACCGAUGGUCAAAAUGUAAACAGUGCACCAAAAGUGAUUUUUGCACCCAUAUUGUUUCAGACAAACUUGCAAAAGUUCCUGUGCCAAAAGCUUCCUCUAUAGGAGUUGCAAUACAGAAUAUUUUAAACUGAAGUGUCUGUAGGUAGAUUACAGAAUGGAUUAAGAGAUCAAAAUUAAUAACAAGUCAAUAAACUAUAUGUUAUCCCUUCAAAUGCUCAACUUGGAGGAUGAAAUAAAUAUAGUAACUAUGGUGUUCUACCUAGUUACCAGGGGACUGGAUGGUACCAUACAUAACAUGAAUUUUUAAAAAGGUUUCAGAAAGCUUCAGUCUUAUAAAUCCUAUGUCCAUUCCAGGCAUGCUAGCAGAAGCAUACUAGUAGAAGUUAACUAGAAGAAUUAGUAGGCACAUGAAUAACUAGUAAAUGUAGAUAAAACAUCAACAUAGUUUUUGUAAAGGAAAUUCAGGCCUGACAAAUCCUUUAGAAUUAUUUGGAAUAAUCAGUGAGCAUGUGGACAUCUACUGUAUUUGGAUUUCCUGAAACUGUUCAGUGCAGACCCUUGCCAAAGGUUCUUAAUCUGUGUUGUGUAGGACAACAGGAACAGAUUCUCCCCCAGAGAAGCAACUCAUGAAUAGGCUGAAAGAACUGGAAUAAACAGUCAGUUCAUAGUUGGGAAAAAAUUGCAAGUAGACUCAUGCAGAGAUCUCUGCUUAGCCCUAGGAAACCCACUUACAAAGGAUUUUGAAAGGUCAGGUGAGGCAACAGAUUUCUAACAAUGUCCUCCUGUGUAGU